rnacentral:lncRNA from 1 species
AAAGGGAUGUGUUUCAAAUAUCAAUUCGAAUGCUCAGCAAUUUAACAAGAAAAUCACAUCUGCUGUAGCAAGCUUGCAGAAGCAACUAUCUGGUCUUAAAAUUGUGGUUUUCGAUAUCUACAAGCCACUUUUCGAUGUCAUCCAAUCUCCUUCAAAAUUCGGUAAUUAGUCAACCACUCCACUCUUUUUGCUCUUAACUAUACAUGAUAAACAACUAAUCUUAACUCUUACCAUAAUGUUUUGGCAGGUUUUGUGGAAGCAAGGAGAGGAUGUUGUGGAACAGGGACUGUAGAGACAACCUCAUUUUUGUGCAAUCCGAAGACACCCGGAACAUGUUCAAAC